rnacentral:rRNA from 1 species
UAGUCAUAUGCUUGUCUCAAAGAUUAAGCCAUGCAUGUCUAAGAAUAAACCUUCGAAUGGUGAAUCUGCGAAUGGCUCAUUAAAUCAGUUAUUGUUUAUUUGAUGGUACCUUACUACUUGGAUAACCGUAGUAAUUCUAGAGCUAAUACAUGCGUCAAGCCCCGACUUCGGAAGGGGUGCAUUUAUUAGAUUCAAACCAUCGGUGUCCGGCAACGGAUGCCUUUGAUGGUGAGUCAUAAUAACUUAGCGAAUCGAAUGGCCUUGUGCUGUCGAUGCUU